rnacentral:rRNA from 1 species
GACGAACGCUGGCGGCGUGCUUAACACAUGCAAGUCGAACGGAGUGGCGAACGGGUGAGUAACACGUGGGUGAUCUGCCUUGCAUUUCGGGAUAAGCUUGGGAAACUAGGUCUAAUACCGGAUAGCGCAAGACGAGCUCGCGGCCUAUCAGCUUGUUGGUGGGGUAAUGGCCUACCAAGGCGUCGACGGGUAGCCGGCCUGGGAGGGUGUACGGCCGCAUUGUGACUGAGCUACGGCCCAGACUCCUACGGGAGGCAGCAGUGGUGAAUAUUGCGCGAUGGGCGGAAGCCUGGUGCAGCGACGCCGCGUGGGGGAUGAAGGCCUUCGGGUUGUAAACUCCUUUCGACAGGGACGCGGUACCUGUAUAAGAAGAGCCGGCUGAAUACGUGCCAGCUGCCGCGGUAAUUC